rnacentral:rRNA from 1 species
CACGUAGGGUGCGAGCGUUGUCCGGAAUUAUUGGGCGUAAAGAGCUCGUAGGCGGUGUGUCGCGUCGGCCGUGAAAACCUGCAGCUUAACUGUGGGCUUGCGGUCGAUACGGGCAUCACUGGAGUUCGGCAGGGGAGACUGGAAUUCCUGGUGUAGCGGUGAAAUGCGCAGAUAUCAGGAAGAACACCGGUGGCGAAGGCGGCUCUCUGGGCCUUACCUGACGCUGAGGAGCGAAAGCGUGGGUAGCGAACAGG